GGGAAUCUAGUUAAAGACAUAUUUUAAUAUCUCUCAAUAGAUGAUCCACCUGUUGCAAUAGAUAGACGACCAACACCAAUACCAACACCAACGACACCAAUAUAAUCAAUACCAACACCAACACCAAUACCACAAACACUAAUACCAAUACCACACCACCACCAACUCCACCAAUACCACCACCAUCACCAACACCACCAACACCAACACCACUAAUACCACCACCACC
rnacentral:lncRNA from 1 species